GAACGCAUAUUGCGCCCAUUAGUAUUCUUGUGGGCAUGCCUGUUCGAGCGUCAUUUCAACCUUCAGUUAUUAACUGAUGUUGAUAAUUGCGGUAAAACGCAGUUAUCUAAAGAAAUUGGCAAGCAAAUAUAAAAUGGCCGAGUGUAGUAAAAAUUUUUCUCGCUUAGGUUUUUAUAUUGGCUUUUGACGUGUAAUUAACUGAAUUACACAAGUGUUGACCUCGAAUCAGGUAGGAAUACCCGCUGAACUUAAG
rnacentral:misc_RNA from 1 species